rnacentral:rRNA from 1 species
CGGGACGGGUGGAGUAACGCGUGGGUAACCGUGCCUUAUACAGGGGGAGUAACAGUCAGAAAUGGCUGCUAAUACCGCAUAAGCGCACAGAGCUGCAUGGCUCAGUGUAGAAAACUCCGGUGGUAUAAGAUGGACCCGCGUUGGAUUAGCUUGUUGGGUGGGGUAACGGCCCACCAAGGCGACGAUCCAUAGCCGGCCUGAGAGGGUGAACGGCCACAUUGGGACUGAGACACGGCCCAGACUCCUACGGGAGGCAGCAUG